AACUUGAUAACCCCAAUAGAAAAAUAAAAUAACCUCACUUUUGUCAUUUUUGUUGAGUGUUAUUAGACCUAAAUAAUAAUAAUUCAAUUGUUAAUUAUUAUGGUUGUGGGAUAUUGGAUGGUCGUUGAAUCGAGAUAAAGUAGAAGAAUGGCAUGGCAUCUUAGGAUUCGGAAACCCAGAGCACUCACAACUUCCAACAUUGUAAUUGGAACAUUUCUGGGAUUUGUAACAGGCUUCUACAUCUAUAACUCUCCGUUACAGGAGUACACGAAAGAUCAAGAAACAAACAAACUAAAUACUGAAACUUCAAAGGAAGACAUAGCUUAGUUGAAAACAGCAAUAAGAAAGUGUCAAAAUGGAAAAAAAACAACCACCAAAGAGAAUUCCAACAAGAUUGGAGAAAGUCAAUGCUGAAUCUGUUUCUAGAAAGCCUUUUUUAAAAAUAUUCAAGCAAAAUUUAACGUCAAAAACAACUCUCGGUAUUUCUGGGUUCGUACUUGUGGUCCUCUUUGCAAUAACUGUGGGAAAGCCUGCGUAUACUGUGCGGAAAAUGAAAAAAGCUGAAGAAUCUGCGGACCUACUGUGGGAAAGAGAUCAUAGAUAUUCAUCAAAAUAAUGUAAAAAAGUGUAAGUAGUUUGUAUAUAGGCCUAGUUAAAUAAAAAUCAAAUUAUUAUGUUGACAAUUGAA